GGUAGUCCACGCCGUAAACGAUGCUAACUCGUUUUUGGGCUUUCGGGUUCAGAGACUAAGCGAAAGUGAUAAGUUAGCCACCUGGGGAGUACGUUCGCAAGAAUGAAACUCAAAGGAAUUGACGAGGGCCCGCACAAGCGGGGGAUUAUGUGGUUUAAUUCGAUGAUACGCGAGGAACCUUACCAAGGCUUAAAUGGGAAUUGAUCGGUUUAGAAAUAGACCUUCCUUCGGGCAAUUUUCAAGGUGCUGCAUGGUUGUCGUCAGCUCGUGCCGUGAGGUGUUAGGUUAAGUCCUGCAACGAGCGCAACCCCUGUUACUAGUUGCUACCAUUAAGUUGAGGACUCUAGUAAGACUGCCUACGCAAGUAGAGAGGAAGGUGGGGAUGACGUCAAAUCAUCACGGCCCUUACGCCUUGGGCCACACACGUAAUACAAUGGCCGGUACAGAGGGCAGCUACACAGCGAUGUGAUGCGAAUCUCGAAAGCCGGUCUCAGUUCGGAUUGGAGUCUGCAACUCGACUCUAUGAAGCUGGAAUCGCUAGUAAUCGCGCAUCAGCCAUGGCGCGGUGAAUACGUUCCCGGGCCUUGUACACACCGCCCGUCAAGCCAUGGAAGUCUGGGGUACCUGAAGUCGGUGACCGUAAAAGGAGCUGCCUAGGGUAAAACAGGUAACUAGGGCUAAGUCGUAACAAGGUAACC
rnacentral:rRNA from 1 species